GACGAACGCUGGCGGCGUGCUUAACACAUGCAAGUCGAACGGAAAGGCCCUGCUUUUGUGGGGUGCUCGAGUGGCGAACGGGUGAGUAACACGUGAGUAACCUGCCCUUGACUUUGGGAUAACUUCAGGAAACUGGGGCUAAUACCGGAUAGGAGCUCCUGCUGCAUGGUGGGGGUUGGAAAGUUUCGGCGGUUGGGGAUGGACUCGCGGCUUAUCAGCUUGUUGGUGGGGUAGUGGCUUACCAAGGCUUUGACGGGUAGCCGGCCGGAGAGGGUGACCGGACACAUUGGGUCUGCGAUCGCCCCGAGCCCCAGCCGGGGGACAGCAGGGGGGUAUUGUCCAAAAUGGGCGGAAGCCUGAUGCAGCAUCCCCGCGUGCGGGAUGCGGGCCUUCGGUUUUAAACCCGCUUUCGCCUGUGACGAAGCGUGAGGGCGGGUAAUGUGUAAAGAACCCCCGCCUAACUCCGUC
rnacentral:rRNA from 1 species